rnacentral:rRNA from 1 species
AUUGAACGCUGGCGGCAUGCUUUACACAUGCAAGUCGAACGGUAACAGGUUAAGCUGACGAGUGGCGAACGGGUGAGUAAUGCAUCGGAACGUGCCCGGUCGUGGGGGAUAACGCAGCGAAAGCUGCGCUAAUACCGCAUACGAUCUAAGGAUGAAAGCGGGGGACCGUAAGGCCUCGCGCGAUCGGAGCGGCCGAUGUCAGAUUAGGUAGUUGGGGGGGUAAAGGCUCACCAAGCCAACGAUCUGUAGCUGGUCUGAGAGGACGACCAGCCACACUGGGACUGAGACACGGCCCAGACUCCUACGGGAUGCAGCAGUGGGGAAUGUUGGACAAUGGGCGAAAGCCUGAUCCAGCAAUACCGCGUGCAGGAAGAAGGCCUUCGGGUUGUAAACUGCUUUUGUACGGAGCGAAAAGGUCUCCUCUAAUACAGGGGGCUCAUGACGGUACCGUAAGAAUAAGCACCGGCUAACUACGUGCCAGCCGCCGCAGUAA